GACGAAAUUGCUGAAAAUUGCGGGAAUAGCUCAGUUGGUAGAGCACGACCUUGCCAAGGUCGGGGUCGCGAGUUCG
rnacentral:tRNA from 1 species